AUUUUCCACCGCAUUUUGAAGAUCUAGCUGAACCCGAUCCUUUUCAGCAUAUGCCAACGUGAUUUCCUUUUCAGCCUCCUUCAGCGCUUCCUCAAGAGCUGUAAUUUGGUCAGAGUCCACAGCAGCCGCUAGCUCUGCUUCCUUCUUCUGUAGAAGUGCAUGAGCACGAACCUUGUAUGAAGAAAAUUCACUUUCAAGGCGAUUCAUCUCCUCUUUGACAGUCUGUAGUUCAG
rnacentral:misc_RNA from 1 species